rnacentral:rRNA from 1 species
AGAAUCAACGCUGGCGGCGUGCCUAACACAUGCAAGUCGAACGCGGUUACCUCGCAAGGGGUAACUGAGUGGCGAACGGGUGAGUAACACGUGGGUGACCUACCUUCGAAUGGGGGAUAACGUCCCGAAAGGGACGCUAAUACCGCAUAACAUCCUGCUCUUGAAUGGGUGGAGAUCAAAGCCGGGGAUCGCAAGACCUGGCGUUUGGAGAGGGACCCGCGUCCGAUUAGCUAGUUGGUGAGGUAACGGCCCACCAAGGCGACGAUCGGUA